rnacentral:lncRNA from 1 species
AACAUUUGAGGGGUAACCCAUGCUCCCCUCGUUUCCACAAAACAGUGAGAAAAAAAAAAGGUUCUGAUCGGUUGCACAAACAAAUAUAAAUCCUUUUGUGUUUUCUAGUCUGACAUCAUUGAUCUUUUUCUUGUUUCCCAUGGCCAAUAGCUUAAACGAUUUAGCGAUUACACGGUGAUGAAAUCCACUUGAAACCUGGUUGGUCAAAUCAUUCGACUACUACACGAGCGAUCGCCAUGCCGUGUCCAGACUCGUCUUAAUGUUGUUGGGAUGAUGUUUUUGGAUGUUGAGGAUCUACCACGUCCUAUGAACAGAACAGCUGGUUUAGUUGAAGACAAUCCCAAAAUUUCUGGGAACGAAAAACGACAACAAAUUUCGUCUGCACAGAGAAAAGGCCGUUGUGGUGAUAGUUACUUGAAUUAUUACCGAGAAGAAACCCGACGACGAGAAUUACCCAUAGACCUACGUCGCCUCUGGUUGGCCUAUUCUCCCCAAAAAGAGACGCAAGAAGAAGAACAACAGCAGCAGUGUGUAGUCAGAUCUGAUUUAUGUUUCAUGAACGUUAGAUUGGAUCGGAAAGUCUCGAAGCCAGAAAGAAGAAAAACAAAAGGAGACAAGAAUAACAACGUUCAUCACAACAGAAAAGUUCAGCACUGGAAUGUUUUGGUGCUGUUGUUGUUGUGAGCCACUAAUUGAAAAUGAUAAAAGACAGUAGAGAA